rnacentral:rRNA from 1 species
UGGGGAAUCUUGCACAAUGGGGGAAACCCUGAUGCAGCGACGCCGCGUGAGCGAUGAAGCCCUUCGGGGUGUAAAGCUCUUUCGACGGGAACGAUAAUGACGGUACCCGGAGAAGAAGCUGCGGCUAACUACGUGCCAGCAGCCGCGGUAAUACGUAGGCAGCGAGCGUUGUUCGGAGUUACUGGGCGUAAAGAGUAUGUAGGCGGUUUUCUAAGUUUGGUGUGAAAUCUCCCGGCUCAACUGGGAGGGUGCGCCGAAUACUGGGAGGCUUGAGCGUGGGAGAGGAAAGCGGAAUUCCUGGUGUAGCGGUGAAAUGCGUAGAUAUCAGGAGGAACACCUGCGGUGUAGACGGCUUUCUGGACCACGGCUGACGCUGAGAUACGAAAGCGUGGGUAGCAAACA